AGCAUGCUCUAAAUGGCUCACAUUCCAGACCAAUCAGAAUGAGAUUUCGACUUUACUGAACAUUUCAAACGCCAACGACGGCGACUAAAUUGAAAUAAAUUUCUCAACUGUGUCUUUGACUUUUUUAGAUUUUUUCUUGCGAUUGCGAUUUUCGGCAUAUUUUAGCCGCUUAAAAUGUUUAUGUAAUUUUAUUUAGGUUUUAAUAAUUUUCUCAAGCUCCUAGACACAUUUUGAAAGAAUUUUAAAUAAUUUUUUUGUGAUAGUAUGUGGUUUUUGUUUAUCAUAUCAUAAAGAAAGCAAAAUCAUGGAUCCAGAGAGGAAAAAUAAAACAUGUGAAUAUUCAACAAAGAAUUUUUGACUAUCAACAAUUCGCUCGAUAAGCAUUUAACAAAUAUGCAUAACAUAAUAAUCAAACUGUUUUUAAUUUUAGGAACUUCAAAGAAUUUGGAACAUGGAAAUCACAGGGUCACUUAAGGUGAUAAUGAAACACAUUUGGAAAUUAUAAUAGAGCAAGGGUUUAGGAAGAUCAAGGCAGAUAAUUUUUUAGCAGAUACUACUAUAAUGCAUGAACCAAUAUUACGUGUGAAGAAGAAAAACCCAGAAUAUUACCUUAUAUAUAGCAUAUAAUUAAGAAUUGGAAUAUUCAGAGGAGGUGCGUGAAUACACAAAAUAAUAAAAGAAUUGAUGAAAUAAAGGUAAUGAAAACAAUGAUAAGAAGCUUAUUAAAAGAAACAAAUGUUAAGAAAUUUAAGGAAACCAGCGACAAUUAUUUUAAAUAUUUAGAAGACCAAGAUGAACUCAUAAUUUUAAGGUCUUUACAAAAGUAAGUAUUUAAAUAUAUAUGUAUUAUAGUAUUUACCAACCUCUUUUAAAGAUGACAUUAAUAAUCUACAUGUUUUACUAGUUAUUUUCAGUUUAAAUAUUUUAAUAAUUUAUGUAUAUAUCUUGUGAUUUGUAAUAAUUGAAGUUUUGAAUCAAAAACUCAUAAAUGUGCAAGUCGAGAAUUUUAAUCGUUUUAUCGAACAUAUUAAAAAUUUUGAAUGAGUUUCUUCUCAUAAUACCCAACCCACUAAAAAAGAGAAAAAGAUAAACAAACGUAUUACCACAGUAAAAAAUUACAUCGUUAGGGUUAAAAUACAAUAUAUAUUUUAAAUAAAACAUAGUCAAAUAUAUUUUUUAGAAUCCACUUAGUAUAAACAUAAUCACUGAACAAGUGUUAUUUUUUCUUUUUUGUCAGACCUAAGCCUGAAAAAGUGUAAAGGAAAAUGAAUUAUUUUAAAAUAUUACAAGAAAAUAUUGUAACGUGUGUGAAUUUUUAAUGUGAAUUAAUUACAAUUUUGAUUUAUUUUCAGUCUUUCAUUAACCUCAUUUAGCAUUGAGAAUAUAUUGAUUUUUAUCAAUAUUCAUCUCCAUGCAACACUUGAGCUGUUAUAGCAACCACCUAAAAUAUUUUUUAUUCAUUUUUUUGUUGCUCACUGUAUAAAUUUAUCGGAAAAUAAAAAAAAG